rnacentral:rRNA from 1 species
UGCCAGCCGCCGCGGUAAUACGGAGGGUGCAAGCGUUGUUCGGAAUUAUUGGGCGUAAAGCGCGUGUAGGCGGUUCGUUAAGUCUGAUGUGAAAGCCCGGGGCUCAACCCCGGAAGUGCAUUGGAAACUGGCGAACUUGAGUACGGGAGAGGAAAGUGGAAUUCCGAGUGUAGGGGUGAAAUGCGUAGAUAUUAGGAGGAACACCAAAGGCGAAGGCAGCUUACUGGACAAUUACUGACGCUCAGGCACGAAAGCGUGGGGAGCGAAAGGGAUUAGAUA